UGCAUGUGUAAGUAUAAAUAGUUAACUUUGAAACUGCGAAUGGCUCAUUAUAUCAGUUAUAGUUUAUUUGAUGAAGAAUACUAAUUGGAUAACCGUAGUAAUUCUAGAGCUAAUACAUGUAUAAAGUCUUGUAGACUGCAUUUAUUAGAAUGAAAACCAUAGGUUUCGGCCUAUUCGUGAGUAAUAAUAACUAAUCAUAUCGUAUGCUUAUGUAACGAUGUGUCUUUCAAGUUUCUGCCCUAUCAGCUUUCGAUGGUAGUGUAUUGGACUACCAUGGCAGUAACGGGUAACGAAGAAUUUGGGUUCGAUUUC
rnacentral:rRNA from 1 species